GACGAACGCUGGCGGCGUGCCUAAUACAUGCAAGUUGAGCGCUGAAGGUUGGUACUUGUACCAACUGGAUGAGCAGCGAACGGGUGAGUAACGCGUGGGGAAUCUGCCUUUGAGCGGGGGACAACAUUUGGAAACGAAUGCUAAUACCGCAUAAAAACUUUAAACACAAGUUUUAAGUUUGAAAGAUGCAAUUGCAUCACUCAAAGAUGAUCCCGCGUUGUAUUAGCUAGUUGGUGAGGUAAAGGCUCACCAAGGCGAUGAUACAUAGCCGACCUGGGAGGGUGAGCGGCCACAUUGGGACUGAGACACGGCCCAAACGCCUACAGGAGGCAGCAGUAGGGAAUCGUCGGCAAUGGACGAAAGUCUGGCCGAGCAACGCCGCGUGAGUGAAGAAGGUUGUCGGAUCGUAAAACUCUGUUGGUAGAGAAGAACGUUGGUGAGAGUGGAAAGCUCAUCAAGUGACGGUAACUACCCAGAAAGGGACGGCUAACUACGUG
rnacentral:rRNA from 1 species